GAGGAUAGGCAGAGGCAAAGUCUUAGUCAAUCUCUACAGCACCUAGGCCAGCCCCCCGCUGAGACAACCACAAGAGAAAAUAUGAAGACCAUGACCCUAACUCCAGAGUUGUACUUUUUCUUAAAUGUCUUUCUUAGGUACAUCUCAGAAAGAUAUUGGGAGGAAACACUGCAUUCAAGGGUCUGCCUGUCCAUCCAUAUGUCUAUAACCAGAAAGAUCCAAGUUCUUACUUUUUCAACUGAAGAC